GCCAGACUCACAGUUUUUGCUUCAUAACGUCGAAACCACAGUUUUCCUUGAUGACCUAGAAGAGUUUCAGAAACAAGAAGCACCAUUUACCCACUGGGUCUCAUGCACGUUACGUACUUGAGAAAUGGUGGAAUGCUAGAGCCAGGAUCAGAGAACACCCCCAAAGGAAGGACACUGAGCUGACAGAUGCCAGUGCGUAAGUACCGUGCCAUUGCGUGACUGUUGAGACACCGCAUGCCCCCUGUCGUAUUUACAGGGUGGCUCCACUCUGCAAAUGAGGAGCCCAGGGAACCGAGAAUUCUCAACGGCAACGCCAGUCUCACGCAUGCAGAAUCUCGCUGAUGUCUAACUCCUCACCAUCCUCACCUUCCUAUUUUCCGACCACACUGAACCACAUGAAGCCACCUCGGGAAAGCCCAGGUUGAAAUCCUUACCUCUGUGCGUUCACUGAUAUGGAUGUGAAAAUCCUCAAUACAAAUAAUAAAACAUGGCUCUUUACGAUGUUCCCAUUGGGUGUC